rnacentral:tRNA from 1 species
AGCCCCGAGGUGUUAACACAUGUUGGAUUGCAAAUCCAGAGAUGCAGGCUAACUGCCUGCCGGGGCUU